GACAGGGGGUGCAAACGUUGUUCGGAAUUACUGGGCGUAAAGCGCGUGUAGGCUGCUUGGAAAGUCGGAUGUGAAAGCCCUGGGCUCAACCUAGGAAGUGCAUUCGAAACUUCUGAGCUUGAGUUCUGGAGAGGAAGGCGGAAUUCUCGGUGUAGAGGUGAAAUUCGUAGAUAUCGAGAGGAACACCAGUGGCGAAGGCGGUUACCUGGAGCUUUGCUGACGCUGAUGCGCGAAAGCGUGGGGAGCGAUCCGG
rnacentral:rRNA from 1 species